rnacentral:rRNA from 1 species
ACAGCAGCCGCCACGGUAAUACGUAGGUCCCGAGCGUUGUCCGGAUUUAUUGGGCGUAAAGCGAGCGCAGGCGGUUAGAUAAGUCUGAAGUUAAAGGCUGUGGCUUAACCAUAGUACGCUUUGGAAACUGUUUAACUUGAGUGCAAGAGGGGAGAGUGGAAUUCCAUGUGUAGCGGUGAAAUGCGUAGAUAUAUGGAGGAACACCGGUGGCGAAAGCGGCUCUCUGGCUUGUAACUGACGCUGAGGCUCGAAAGCGUGGGGAGCAAACAGGAUUAGAUACCCCUGUAGUCCCUGUCUCUUAUACA